rnacentral:tRNA from 1 species
GCGGGAUUAGUUAAGUGGCAGAAUGAUUGCUUCCCAAGCAAUAGACGCGAGUUCGAUUCUCGCAUCCCGCA